AUGUCAGUAAAUAAAUAAACAUGGAGGAACUGAGGACAGAAAAGGCAAAUAAUGCCUGCUGAUCCCCUGGAGCUAAGGGAUUCCCCAAUCACCUGCAGAAACACCAUCAGAGAGAAAAGCACAAACAGGAACUGAAAGAUAUUUAGCUCAAGAGGAAUUAGAUGCAAACUACUGGGAUUCCAAUUUGAAAAGCCUCCCCUGAGAAAGGAUACCAAAGGCUAAAUCCUCUUUUUUCAAUCUGACAACCCAAACUGGGAUUCCAAUGUGGGAGUAUGUCCAGAAAAACACCACUUAGAUCACCAGAGGAGCAGCAAAAGCCUCCAACAUCCAUUUUUUAGCUCUGGACAUGACUGUGUUGCUGUGAGCAGCAGGGGAUGCAUAAGGAGGUGGCAUAAUGCUUGUUUGCAGAACUUUUAUGGUUAACUGACAUUACUGCAGAGGUCUCCAGAGAGUCUCUGGUACCACUGGAUGGCUAAGCCGUGUAAAGCUGUCUAAUGCUGCAUCCUGUGUGGUACCCAAAAGGGGGCCAUAUUUCUGACAGAGACUCCAGCAAAGAAGUAAUGGACAUAAAUAUAAAUGUGUUAAAUCUGAGCAAAAACAGUUGUAACCAAUCCUUCUUCAACUGGUAUGAUUGUCUUACACAUUGCAUAUUUCCUUUAAUUUCCACAUUCUUUGGGUUUGACACUGGCUAGAAGCCAGGCACUGACAAAAAAACCCCAUUUAUUCAUUCUCCUCUGCUAUAGUUGGCAGAGGAGGGGGAAAGAAAAUCAAACCAAAAGGCUCAUGGGGUGAGAUAAGGAUUAGGGGGAAAACAUUCUAAGGCAAAACAGGUUCAAAACUUAAACAGUAUAAAGAAAAUUUAUUAACAGAAUUAAAAGAUGAUAAUGAGAACUAAAAGAAACCUUUUAGAACACUUUUCCUUCCUAGUCCCUCCCUUUUUCCCACUGACUGCACAAGGAGACAAAAACAUGGGGUUUUGGUCAGUCUUUCACAUCCUAAAAAUCUUCCUUCAGUAUGCUUAAGGAAAGGAGUUUCUUUCUUCUGCCGUGCCAUGGGAUCCUUCCCACGGAAGAUAGUUCUCUGCAAACUUUUCCAGCGUGGCUUUUUAACUUUAAUGAAUAGCAGCCCGCCCAACCUGCUGUAACAUGAGUCCCUCCCAUGAACAGUGCAGUCUUCCCAAAACUACACAUUGUGGGCCAUUUUAGUUCAUAAGGUUUAGUCUUUUAAGGAGAAGCUGUUCUAGUUUGGAAGCAAAGGCUCUCUUUCUCUAUAUCUAAAAACAAGGGUCUUCUCUCUCUGUUCAAGUUCCUCACUAGAUUACAGCUUUUCAGCAUCCACGGGCUCCAGCGUGAGUACUGUUCCUCACAGGCUGCGCGUGAAUCUCUGCAUCUCCCCCAUGCACUUAAGGAAUUACAGAGAAACAAUUUGUCGUAUCAUAGUCCUCACCAUGGCUUGCAGAAGAAUCUCAGCUCCGAUGCCUGAAGCACUUCUUCCUCCUCUCUCCUUUCACUGACUUCAAUGCCGCCAUGUUGGUUCUCCUCAUGUCCUUUUCUUUUUCUCUGAAGAAAAUUGUUGUCCAUAGGUAUUAUUGUUUUCAAGUUGUAUCAACUGAAAAAUUCUUACAGAGCUUCGCUGCACUGAAAAGGUUGAUCUUGUCUGUGUUCUGUGUCGGGGAAUUGUUUACCAUGUUUUUGUGGCUGGCCACGUGCUCCCUGUCAGCACUACACAGGCGGCCUCAGCCACGCCGCUCCCGGCCUCGGGAGGGCUUCUGCCUUGGGAGGGCCCUCGCCCCCUCCACCCCCCCGGCCCCGAGAGGGCUCCAGCCGUGUGCUUUCGGCCGCACUGCCCCGGCUGCAUGGGCGCUCCCGGCGCUGGUCCCGGCCACAUGGUCUCGGCUGCAUAGCUGCUUGCGGCAUUGGGAUAGCUGCUCCAGCAGCACAGCCACAGCCCCGUGCCAGAAAGGGCCUCAGUGGCCGUGCCGGGAAGGGUCCCGGGGGCCCCCUUGCCACCCCUCACCACCCUUCAGAAGGGAGGAAGAAAGAGAAGUUUUCAUAAUUUUUUCUGUUUCUUAAAUAUGUCAUCACAGAGACGUUAUCAACUCUUCUAAUUGGGCUAUCAACCUGCCUAUCAUCAGAGCCUUCAGCGAUUGGCUCUGUGCAGGACAUAAUAGAAGCUUCGAGCAGCUUUCUGCUGCCCACUAAAAACUAGACUGUUUUUAAACUAACACAUUCAUUUUGAGACAAGCUAAAUCCCUAAGGGACCAUCAAAGCAUCUCAUUUAAGAAAUAUCAACAUAUACAAAGGGGAGCUUUCCUUUCAACCAGAAAGACCAGCUGCAGAAGCUCACAAAGGGGUUUUUCCUGUUUUUUUAUUCUCUCUGUUUAGCUCAUCUAUCCAGGGAAGUAACAGGAUGUGAAGACAAACUGCAGUAGAAGAGGAAUGUUGGUAAUGAUUUCUCUUUCAACUGCUUGCUCAGCUUUACCUUUGCUAGGAAGGAUUACCUGUUACUGACAAAAGUAUUUUCACAAAAUUGGUGGUACAGGGAACACUGCCUCCUUGAGCAAAUAUCUUCUAAAACUCCCAGAGAUGGACUAUCAUAUCUGUUGGGAAAAUUGCUGCAAUGCCUUGUCAAGGAAUUUCUGUAGAAGCAAAAACAGGCAAGACUAAGAGGAAAACAACAUACUCUGAAUAACGUAAGGUUUUUUGCUUCACUUUAACCCGACACUCCAUGUCCACCUGACCCUCGCAGCUCCUGAUACGUCUUCUGAGAUUUUGCUCCACUUCGUUUGCCACCCUGGGGCACCUGCCAUCUCUGCUGUUCCAGCCUGCUGCUCCGAAGUCCCUGCUAUAGUCUAUCUCACCAUCUGGAUUGGCACCAGGACCAGCUGCCCCCCACGCCAUGAGUUUGCAAAAGAAGCCCCUUUUCUCUUUCUCCCGCUGGUGCAUCCGCCAUUACUCAUGUGGAGAUGCGGCCAAGCUCGUGCCACAGUGCCCCCUGCAGCCGCGGGGGAAUCAUCACACCUGCCCUGCCUAACCUGGAUCCACCGUCACCCCUGCCGGCUGUGAGCAGAACUGCACCGAAGGGGAAAGGGCCUGAGGCCGAAAGAAGGCUGCUGUUGGGUUCCUGGUUUUGUUUGUUGUUGCUGCUG